rnacentral:rRNA from 1 species
UACUAAGGGGGCUAGCGUUGUUCGGAAUCACUGGGCGUAAAGCGCACGCAGGCGGAUCGUUAAGUCAGGGGUGAAAUGCCGAGGCUCAACCUCGGAACUGCCUUUGAUACUGGCGAUCUUAGAGUCCGGGAGAGGUGAGUGGAACUCCGAGUGUAGAGGUGAAAUUCGUAGAUAUUCGGAAGAACACCAGUGGCGAAGGCGGCUCACUGGCCCGGUACUGACGCUCAGGUGCGAAAGCGUGGGGAGCAAACAGG